AUGCCCCUGGACUUCACCAAGCACUUCAUCGCGGUGCCGACGGAGUUCAAGCUCAGGAGCAACACCGGUUGCUCCUGGAAGGUGACGGUCAAGCUGAUGAACAACAGGGUGACCCUGGAUCAGGGUUGGGCCACCUACGCAGCCGUUCAUCAGAUCAAGAUCGGCUACAUGGUGACGUUCAAGCUCCUCACUCCCGACACCCUCAAGGUCAUCAUCUUCGACGACGAUGGCAUUGAGUUCGUCAACAAGUACGGGAAGCACGACGAAGCCUUCGCCUCCAAGGAGUAG
rnacentral:rRNA from 1 species